AGCUUGUGGCCGACUCUUCUGUCUGUACCUCCUGUUGCAGACGACUGAGAUGGGGCUAGGGUAAUCCGGAUCAUUCCCCUUAAGUAAUUCCUGAGCCUGCUGGACAAGUGUUUCAUGGACAACGGACGCUAUAUUCCGUCUGUCUUGCUGUGCUGAAUUGGACAGAAGAAGACAGAAUUGGAGGACGAGGAGGAGAAGGAGG